rnacentral:rRNA from 1 species
GUAAAAUCAGCAUUCCUCAAUGGUGAACUCAUGGAGGAGGUGUAUGUUGGGCAGCCACCAGGCUAUGUCGUUGCUGGGAAGGAGAAUCAGGUGCUGAAGCUAUCGAAGGCACUAUAUGGCCCGCGCCAAGUACCAAGGGUCUGGUAUGCAAAACUUCAUGAGACUCUGGAUGCACUUGGGUUCACUCGCAGCCCUCUGGAGCAUGCAGUUUAUAGGAGGGGAGAUGCGCACUCGUACUUGCUGGUGGGGGUGUAUGUGGAUUACUUGAUCAUUACUGGCACUGACAAGGAUCACAUCAUUCAGUUCAAGGAGCAAAUGUAG